AAUAAUAUGUGUAUAUAUGUAUAUAUGUACAUAUAUAAAACUUUUAUUAAAAUCAUUUAAAUAAUUAUAUAUUCAUUGUUAUACAUUUAUGUAAUAUGUUUUAAAUAAGGAAAAUAAAAAAUAGUAUAUUUUUUGUCAAUUUCGAUUUUCUCUUGUUGGCUUUUUUUUUUUUUUUUUUUUUUUUUUUUUUUUUUUUUUUUUUUUUUUNNNNNNNNNNUUUUUUUUUUUUUUUUUUUUUUUUUUUUUUUUUUUUUUUUUUUUUUUAAUUUAAUUUGUUAAUUUUUUUAGUUUUUUUUUAUUAUUUUUAAAUUUAAGUAUGAAUAAAACUCAUGUUAAUUCUGUUGUUGAUCCACUAUGUAUUAGAGUAUCCUGUACAAGCGUAGAGUCCUAUAUAAGAUGUGUUGAAUAUGGAAAAGGAAAAGCUAACGUGAAAGUUUUGUACUUGUUACUGAGAUCAAUAUUAGCUGGAAUAUUUGUUGGAUUGUGUGCCCACGCUGCGACAGUAGCAGGGGGAUUGUUUUAUUUUCAUAAAUUAAGAGAAUAUGUAGGAAUAUCUAUGAGUUUAUUUGUAUAUGGUUUUACUUUUCCAAUAGCUUUUUUAUCUAUUGUAUGUACGGGUGCAGAUUUAUUUACUGGAAAUACAUUAGCAGUUACAACAGCAAUGUUGCAAAGAAAAAUAAGUAUUAUACAAUAUGCACGUAUUAUGGCAACAUCGUUACUAGGAAAUUAUAUAGGAGCUACGUUUUUUGCAUUUUUUAUUUCAUACGCAUCAGGUGUUUUUAAAGAAUAUGACGAUGUAUCUAAAAACCAUCUUUUUCAAUUUUUAAAUGAUAUUGCUGUGAAAAAAGUCAGUCAUAAUUAUAUUUCAUGUAUAGCUUUAGCUAUUGGUUGUAAUCUGUUUGUUUGUUUAGCACUUUAUUUUAUUAUCUCUAUUAAAGAUGGUUCAGGAAUAAUUUUUGGUGCGUUUUUUGCAGUAUAUGCAUUUGCAAUAGCAGGAUACGAACAUAUUAUUGCAAAUAUAUACACUUUAAAUAUUGCAUUAAUGGCUAAUACAAAAGUCACAUUUUACGAGGUCUAUAUCAAAAAUCUGAUACCGACCUUGAUUGGGAAUUGUAUUGCUGGUAUUGUUUUCUUAGCCAUACCAUUAUUUAUUUUGUACAGAAAAAACUAUGACCAAUAUGAAAAUGGAGAAAAAGAAAAGAAUGAAACCGUUAUGAAAUCCAUAUCAAUAGAAAAUAGUUUAAACGAACAUUAGAUUAUAUAAAUAGUUGCACAUAUGGGGAAAUUAUUUAACAAUCACUAAUACACAUAAAUGUUAUUAAUGAUUAAACAAAAUUUUAACUUGUUUCCAUUCCACAUCUAUGUGCUCGAAACACGGAGUAAAUAUAAUACGUUUAAAUGUAUACGCAUGUACAAAGGUUACACACACAUAUAUGUAUUUAACUGGUAUAAGAUUUAAUAUAUACUGUGUAUAUGGGUUAUAAAAUGUUUAUAUUAUUUUAUUAUUUAUAAUUUUUAAAUUGUAUACAAAAUUUUUAAUUAGGUUUAAUAAUA
ensembl:lncRNA